rnacentral:rRNA from 1 species
UACGAAGGGGGCUAGCGUUGUUCGGAAUUACUGGGCGUAAAGCGCACGUAGGCGGACAUUUAAGUGAGGGGUGAAAUCCCAGAGCUCAACUCUGGAACUGCCUUUGAUACUGGGUGUCUUGAGUCCGGAAGAGGUGAGUGGAAUUCCGAGUGUAGAGGUGAAAUUCGUAGAUAUUCGGAGGAACACCAGUGGCGAAGGCGGCUCACUGGUCCGGUACUGACGCUGAGGUGCGAAAGCGUGGGGAGCAAACAGG